rnacentral:rRNA from 1 species
AUGACGUUGGGAAAGCGAGCGGCGGAUGGGUGAGUAACACGUGGGGAACCUGCCCCUAAGUCUGGGAUACCAUUUGGAAACAGGUGCUAAUACCGGAUAAUAAAGCAGAUCGCAUGAUCAGCUUUUGAAAGGCGGCGUAAGCUGUCGCUAAGGGAUGGCCCCGCGGUGCAUUAGCUAGUUGGUAAGGUAACGGCUUACCAAGGCGACGAUGCAUAGCCGAGUUGAGAGACUGAUCGGCCACAUUGGGACUGAGACACGGCCCAAACUCCUACGGGAGGCAGCAGUAGGGAAUCUUCCACAAUGGACGCAAGUCUGAUGGAGCAACGCCGCGUGAGUGAAGAAGGUUUUCGGAUCGUAAAGCUCUGUUGUUGGUGAAGAAGGAUAGAGGUAGUAACUGGCCUUUAUUUGACGGUAAUCAACCAGAAAGUCACGGCUAACUACGUGCCAGCAGCCGCGGUAAUACGUAGGUGGCAAGCGUUGUCCGGAUUUAUUGGGCGUAAAGCGAGCGCAGGCGGAAAAAUAAGUCUAAUGUGAAAGCCCUCGGCUUAACCGAGGAACUGCAUCGGAAACUGUUUUUCUUGAGUGCA